CGCCGCCUCCACUACCCAGGCCAGCUGCCCGCGCCUCAGUGCCCCCCACGCAUUUGUCGGGUGUUGUGCGGUCUUGUCCACAACGCACGCGAGUGACUCCCAACUUCACCAUCCUCUUCGUGCCCCGCCCUCCUGCCCUAGUGUCUCAGGUGCCCCAGAGUUGUCCUGACGCGAGGCCUACUGACCUGACCACCGCCCACCACUAAGAGAUGUUGGAAGAUCUUGGCGUGAAGGGUUUGCCGCGCGGCGCAUCGAGGCCUCAGCGAUGAAGACAGCGUCGAGGCCGUCCCGCGGGAUGUGGCGUGUGACAAGACUUCGGGAAGGAGAGAAGCAAGUCCUGACGACCCUUGGGAAGCAGGAACGAGAGAAUGAAUAGUAAAGAGGCUGCGAUGCUCCUUGUCAAUGCCUCACACACACACACACACACAUAUACACACACACAUACACACACACACAGCAUCCUUCCCUCGUGAAUAUUUUUUAGGAUGAAUGUCGCGUGAAUGUGUAGUAAUCUGCGCUCUCUGCAAUAGUUGUCUUCAUGGGUGUAAAAGAAAAGUGAAGUACCGCCUUGAAAAUUGCUUGUGUCUUGGUUGUAUUACUUGCAGUGUGGUGUUAGUUUGUCUUAUUCUCUUUUCAUCCUUUCGUUCAGAUGGCAUUGUUUGUGUGUGUUUUAUUUGUUUAUUUGUUUGUUUAUUUGUUUGUUUGUUUUGUUUGUUUGUUUGUUUGUUAGUUGGUUGGUUGGUUGCUUGUUGUUAUUGUUGGUGGUGGUGGUGCUGUUAUUGGUGUUGUCGUUGUUCUAGGUAACUGACUAACUAACCAACUAAUUAGGUAAUUAACUAAACUAACUUCAUAAUGAAACGAAAAAUAAACUGAGACAUCUAUUCCUGUUUUAAGUUUCUUUUUCAUUUUUUCUUUUUUUUUAGAGCAGAUUUUUUCUCAACUUUUUUGUGUCCUUAGCUUCUCUCCCUUACGCUUACCUAAAAAGAAAAAAAAAGAAAAGAAAAAACGAAAAGAGAAAGAGAGAAAAACACGAACUACACGCCGCACACUCCACCACUCCACCUCCACCCACUCCACCACCCACCCACCCAUCCACCCACUUAUCCGCACCCCCGGCAUGCAACACCCCCGCAGCCAGAAGAAAAGAAAGAAAAGGGGGAAGAAAAGUGAAAUAACCUUCUGUCAAGUUUCACGAUCGCUUUGUUCCGUGAAACUUAAUACUGCUACGUGGGAAAAAAAAAGAGUAGGAAAAGAAAGGAGGGAAAAAGGAGAGGGAAAAAAAAACUAGUGCUCGUGAGUUCGUUCUGACCUGUAUGUGUGUGUGUGUGUGUGUAUGUGUGUGCAAGGGAGACACUCUUGCAGCGACAUAAAGUGCAUCAUAUCCUGUGCCUGGAGCUGUAAUCCAUUAUAUGAGAAUUGCAUUAUGCUGUUCCAUCUUCCCCACCACCACCACCACCACCACCACCACCACCACCACCACCACCACCACUAUACUACUACCACUCCCCUUCUCCUUUCACUCCAGCAACACCCUUACUUCCACACUUACCUCCACCACAGUCCACCAGUGUAAGGCCGCCACCUCUGCAUCACCGUUCCCUCCGCCACCUCCUCCACUUCUCCAUCACAACUCCACUGCCACACGUCCACUUUUUUUUCAUGUUUUCCACUGCCAGAACGUUCUCAGCUCUGGUAGGCAUCACGGUCCUCCUCCUCCUCCUCCUCCUCCUCCUCCU